rnacentral:tRNA from 1 species
UGCGGAUGUGGCGGAACUGGCAGACGCGCUAGACUUAGGAUCUAGUGGGUAUCCCGUGCAGGUUCAAGUCCUGUCAUCCGCAU